GGAGUUUGGACCGUGUCUCAGUUCCAAUGUGGCCGAUCACCCUCUCAGGUCGGCUACUGAUCGUCGCCUUGGUGGGCCGUUACCUCACCAACUAGCUAAUCAGACGCGAACUCACCCCAAACCGGAUCGCUCCUUUUACCCCUGAACCAUGCGGCUCCGUGGUCUUAUGCGGUAUUAGCACCUGUUUCCAAGUGUUAUCCCCCUGUCUGGGACAGAUCGUUCACGCGUUACUCACCCGUCGCCGCUGGAAUUAUCCCGAUUCCUGCCGAAGCUCUCCUCUGAAUAAUCCCCGCUCGACUUGCAUGUGUUAGGCACGCCGCCAGCGUCGUCCUGAGCCAUGAUCAAACUACU
rnacentral:rRNA from 1 species